CAGCCAAGGCCGUGGCCCGGGUGUCCUCCCCCUGCGAGCCCUGUGCAGAAGGCACCUUCUCCAAUGUCUCUUCUAAAACCGAGCCAUGCCAUCCCUGGACAAGUUGCGAGGAAAAGGGGCUGGUGGUGAAGGUGCAAGGGACGAACACCUCAGAUGUGAUCUGUGAGUCGGGCGGGCGCUCCUCGCUCUCGGUGUUGAUCCCCAUCACGGCCGUGGUCGUCACUUGCCUCGUGGGCAUCUGCAUUUACUGCCUGGUCCACACAGAUCCCAGGCGGCGGGUGAAGCAGCAGGUGGAGGCCGGGGAGCCCCAGGAGCUCCC